rnacentral:rRNA from 1 species
GAUGAACGCUGGCGGCGUGCCUAAUACAUGCAAGUCGAGCGAACAGACGAGGAGCUUGCUCCUCUGACGUUAGCGGCGGACGGGUGAGUAACACGUGGAUAACCUACCUAUAAGACUGGGAUAACUUCGGGAAACCGGAGCUAAUACCGGAUAAUAUAUUGAACCGCAUGGUUCAAUAGUGAAAGACGGUUUUGCUGUCACUUAUAGAUGGAUCCGCGCCGCAUUAGCUAGUUGGUAAGGUAACGGCUUACCAAGGCAACGAUGCGUAGCCGACCGGAGAGGGUGAUCGGCCACACUGGAACUGAGACACGGUCCAGACUCCUACGGGAGGCAGCAGUAGGGAAUCUUACGCAAUGGGCGAAAGCCUGACGGAGCAACGCCGCGUGAGUGAUGAAGGUCUUCGGAUCGUAAAACUCUGUUAUUAGGGAAGAACAAAUGUGUAAGUAACUAUGCACGUCUUGACGGUACCUAAUCAGAAAGCCACGGCUAACUACGUG